ensembl:lncRNA
CCAACUCAAGGUAUUCUACAGUUCUAUGAUUACACACAGGGACUAUUUUUUUGCAGACUAUUUGCAGUGUAUGUUAUCUUAUGUCUAUCAGAGAGGUCAUAAGAGACAUUGAGACUAGGGAGGAGGUUUCCUGUGGUUUUGUUUUCCUGAAGACUCUUUCCACAAAUGAAAUAAAAUAAAAUCAUAGGAAUUUAGAAAUCAGGAAUUCUGGUGCUCACGGACACUUUGUUUUUUAUAAAUUAAAUUGGUGUUAACUCAUAAUUUUUUUCUGUAAAUGGCAUUUUCUUCUCUUCUUGAGUCCUCUGUGUCUUUCUUGUCCUCUUUUACCUUCUCUAGAUUUUUCAGCACCUCAAGUAUAUGUAUCAGUCUGCAUAUAGAGAGAUAUUAUUGAUCUUAAUAAUGCCAUAUUCACCGCUGUACUUUCUUCUCUUUUCAGACCAUCCAGUUUAUCUCACUUUGAAAUGUUUCUGAAGUCACACUGCUGUGCUGCACUCUUCUAAAUGUCUGCUUUGGAAAUAAGAACAAUGUUAGGAACAGUUGCAUGGUGUUGGUCUGUUUUGCAUUACAAAGUGUUUUUGUAUCAUAAAGUUCUGGACCAGGUCAUUACCUCCAUCUUUAAACAUGAAGGAACAGAAACUCAGCUGGCCUAAUUUGGCUUAACUCCAUGGAUUUCAUUGCUGUGAACACGCUAAAGAUUUCAUCCUUUGCAGUAAGAUUCCUCCACACAAGAUUUAUUUUCUUUUGGUUAUGUAAAUAAUUCGUGAAAUAUAAAAAAUAAUUGUAUUGAUUCAGCCUCUGUUAACUCAUGGGAGAAAUCCUGCACAAGGCAUGCAGGGUGCUGGCUGUGGUUGGCUGCAAGUGGCAGGGCAGCACCGUGCUGCUUGGCUGGGAUGGCUGCAAGCUAAGACCAGCUCCUGCUUCAGGAAUGCACAGGCACGGGGCUCUGCCCCGAGCUCCUGGCCAUGACAGUGGAGCCAGUCCCACAGGCUGAGCAUGGUGGGGACCUGUGAGAUGACUGCCAUG